CCCCCCGAGCCCUUAGUAACGCUCAACUCUCGCGAAUCCACCAAGAGCUCGGGAAAAGUAACGCCUCUUCCUCCCAGCCCGGGAAACUGUACGUAUUAUACUUUGACGUCGCGAGUCCCGGCUGCGCAGUCGCAGUUCAGAACCGCUGUCUCGGCCUACCUUCACUCAACCCCGGAAAUAACGUACGGGUUUUCGGGCUCCAAGUCGGAAGUUGAUUAGAAAGUCGGCUGACUCCGUCACCUCUAGGGCACUGGGUUCGGUUCCAUGGACUCCCGGAAUAAAAUGCACAUGGGGAAUCUCUGCACUCUGCGCCCACUUUGAGGACUCCUCUGGAGUUCUGCUUCACUUACAGGACCACCCACCGUGCUGUACUUUGAAAGACUCUCAGCAGCUACCUCAUCCAGGAUGAGCCAAUCCAAUGUUGUGAGACUCUGGAAUGGGGACACGGAGAUGGUAGACCAGCAGGUCACCUGAAGAGAAAACUUGUGAACUUGGGAGUUGUGCUCCUGGAAGCAGGAAAAGCUUGUUUUCCGAGAGAGAAGCAGCAGCAGCAGAUAACCAUGACCUGGGAAGACACGCAGAUUAUGAAACAGUUGCCUACGUUCCUGAUGGCAUUCCAGUCCUUGUCCCAGUGUCUCUUUAGGCCCAGCUGUUUGGCCUUUAUGAGAUGACCAUACCUAGUCCUUUUAAUUAAUUGCCUUAUUAUGAUUAAACUAGCUGUGAGAGCGUC